ensembl:lncRNA
ACCGUCACUUGACCCAAUGCAUUGCUCAAUAUUUUAGUCAGUUUGUAAGAGACAUUUGGGUCUUACAUUUUUUUAUAUUGCUUUUUUCCCUGCAGCUUAUCUGAAGAACCUGAGACAUUUUUUACCCUCAGCCUUCCUCCAGAAGGUCCAGAUCUCGAUGCAUUUUACCCCGAUCUCCACCUGCAGAAACCAACUCCAUCAUCUGUUAAUGUCCGCCAAGUGUCUGAGUACUGUCUACCAGAUGUACAGAACAAGGUCCAGCCGAGAGAAAUUGGUGCACGGGAGUGGGAUGGAUGCCAAGAUGAUCAUUACCUCCAAAAUGUACCUCCAAAGAACCAACAUAAAGUGUGCUUGCCAAGAUUGGACCACGUUAAAGUGGUCUCUACUGGGGGUGGAAAUGGGAAAGCCUGGUAUGAGGGGCCGGGUUCUGCACUUCUCAAACCAUGGAAGCAGCUCUCGCUUCCCCAAGGCAAGACAGGACCAGAGACAGGCUUUGACCGGCGACAGCUGUAUGAGCCACUGAACGUGAAUAGGAACUGUGGGGCGGGUCUGAUGGUCGAUUUUGUGGCAGCUAUGGAUGUAGACAGAGGAGAAGAAGAGCCAGAAAAUCAGUCUCAAGUGCUGAGUGAAGUAAACCACAUUAGAAGCAAGUGCUCAAAUGGUGGAAGGGAGCAAGAGGCAUUCAGAGAAAACCAUGGAUUGUCAAGAAUGAAAGGAAAACAGUUCCCCAUCGCCAUCACAGAUGAAAUGGACACUGCGUCGGACUUUGAUGUGGACGGUAGAGCCCUCCGGCAAACCGAACACCAAGAUGUCGGAGAAGGGUUUCCACAUGAACCCGGUGCCAGGGACGAAGAGAUAACAACAGGGGGGUCCAGUCGUAGCAUCACCCCAGAACUGACCCCAGUGUUACUUGAAGAAAGCGUCAACACAAUGGUAACCCAGGGAGCUCAAACUACCCAAAAGACAUCAGAGCUCGAGACCGCUGGAGAUAAGGAGGAGGGCCCACAAAGACCAGAGGAACAGAGGGAGUCCUCCAACAGAGAACUCAGUCCGGGUGGAGCCCCCCUACCCGAUGGACCAGACACGGCCGUCAGGGAUGAGGAAGAUGCGGCGACUGCUGCGGUAGUCCUGGAGACGGACGCGGGGACGGUGCAGGGCGGCACGACCCAAGCUGAGGAACAGAUGGGGGGGGACCAGGGUGGGAGGACCCACCCUGUCCAGGUGGAGGAGGAGGAGGAGGAGGUGGAGGAGGAGGAGGAAGAGGCCGGUCCAUCUGAAAGGGGAAUGGUCCUUCAGGAGAUGUUGGAGGAUGAAAAUGAGCCCUUGUUGAAAACCUCAAAUGAGGUCAAUGGAAGCCCCGCAUUGGAGGGCUCACCAGUUGAGAGACAACGCCCCCCGCUGAGGUUGUCUCAGGAAGGAGGGGCCACAGGGUCUGGCUUCAGGGUACCCCCUCUUCUCCAUGGGAACGCCCCCCUAGAGGCCACCCUCCAUACCUGUGACACCCUUCAAGUGAGUCCCGAUCCGUCAACCAUCCUACACUCAUUGUUGAAAGUGAACCUAACCUCAACUAACCUGUCAGCCCGGUUGAGAAUCAAGUCUAAUACACAUUUUAUUGAGCCUGUUUUAUUCAUUAGUACUCUUCUUUUUACUUCCAUGGCAUAUCAAUUCCAUGUUUUGCUUCAGUUUCAGUUUGUCUUCCACCUCAAGCUGUAUCUUGAGGUUAUCAAGGUCAGCAUAUAG